rnacentral:rRNA from 1 species
UACGAAGGGUGCAAGCGUUACUCGGAAUUACUGGGCGUAAAGCGUGCGUAGGUGGUUGUUUAAGUCUGUUGUGAAAGCCCUGGGCUCAACCUGGGAACUGUAGUGGAAACUGGACAACUAGAGUGUGGUAGAGGGUAGCGGAAUUCCCGGUGUAGCAGUGAAAUGCGUAGAGAUCGGGAGGAACAUCCAUGGCGAAGGCAGCUACCUGGACCAACACUGACACUGAGGCACGAAAGCGUGGGGAGCAAACAGG